rnacentral:rRNA from 1 species
UACGUAGGGGUGCGAGCGUUAAUCGGAAUUACUGGGCGUAAAGCGUGCGCAGGCGGUUCGCUGUGUCCGAUGUGAAAGCCCCGGGCUUAACCUGGGAAUGGCAUUGGAAACUGGCGAGCUGGAGUGUGGCAGAGGGGGGGUGGAAUUCCGCGUGUAGCAGUGAAAUGCGUAGAUAUGCGGAGGAACACCGAUGGCGAAGGCAAUCCCCUGGGCCUGCACUGACGCUCAUGCACGAAAGCGUGGGGAGCAAACAGG